rnacentral:rRNA from 1 species
UUAGAUACCCCUGUAGUCCUGGCAGUAAACGGUGCGCGCUUGGUGUAAGAGGACUUGACCCCUUCUGUGCCGGAGCUAACGCGUUAAGCGCGCCGCCUGGGGAGUACGGUCGCAAGACUAAAACUCAAAGAAAUUGACGGGGACCCGCACAAGCGGUGGAGUAUGUGGCUUAAUUCGAUGCAACGCGAAGAACCUUACCUAGGCUUGACAUGUAUUGCUAAGGCACGUGAAAGCGUGUGACCCUUCGGGGACCUUACACAGGUGCUGCAUGGCCGUCGUCAGCUCGUGUCGUGAGAUGUUGGGUUAAGUCCAGCAACGAGCGCAACCCCUGUGAAUAGUUGCCAGCACGUAAUGGUGGGGACUCUAUUCAGACUGCCCAGGUCAACUGGGAGGAAGGUGGGGAUGACGUCAGGUCAGUAUGGCCCUUACGCCUAGGGCUGCACACGUACUACAAUGCCCAGUACAAUGAGAACCGAAACCGCGAGGUGGAGGAAAUCUGUAAAACUGGGCCCAGUUCGGAUUGGAGGCUGCAACUCGCCUCCAUGAAGUUGGAAUCGCUAGUAAUGGCACAUCAGCUACGGUGCCGUGAAUACGUUCCCGGGUCUUGUACACACCGCCCGUCACAUCAUGGAAGCCGAUCGCACCCGGAGUAUGCUGCGCUAACUUUAUUGAAGGCAAGGUCCUAAGGUGUAGUUGGUAACUGGGAUGAAGUCGUAACAAGGUAACCGUA